CUUGCUUAAUUAUUGUUAAUAUUGUGUUUGUUGGCUUUAUAUACUACUUGUCGCUCAUUUACUGCUUUGAUAUUGUUGAACUGUUUUAUAAACUAUUUUCUCUCGUGUACCCCCUCUGAGUCUCUGAAAUAGGAUAGAAGGAAUGCAGCGUAUGCAUCCUAACUUUCUUUUGAGAUAGCCGGAGUGUCAAGGCACCUAGUGAAGGAUUAUAGCCACGCAUGUUAGGCGGGGUUCGAAUCGACAAUGAAGGCAGUGUUGCCCUGCUACCGACCAAGUUGUCCCUCCCCAGAUCGAGUGUUCACUCGGGUAUAAAAUGUCUCCCCCUGUUCGUGGAAAGCGUCCAAA